CACGUAGGGCGCAAGCGUUGUCCGGAAUUAUUGGGCGUAAAGAGCUCGUAGGCGGUCUGUUGCGUCUGCUGUGAAAACCCGGGGCUUAACCCCUGGCUUGCAGUGGAUACGGACAGACUAGAGGUAGGUAGGGGAGAAUGGAAUUCCCGGUGUAGCGGUGAAAUGCGCAGAUAUCAGGAGGAACACCGGUGGCGAAGGCGGGUCUCUGGGCCGUAACUGACGCUGAGGAGCGAAAGCGUGGGGAGCGAACAGG
rnacentral:rRNA from 1 species